rnacentral:lncRNA from 1 species
GCCAUACACUGGUCAGGAUCCAAUUUAAAACAAUUGUGGCAUUUCGGCGUAACUAAUUAUUUUAAAUAAGUAACUAAUAAGGUUCAUGAUCCAAAUUCAAACUAAUUAAAGCAUUUUAUAACAAUCAAAACCAAUUGCAACCACUUUAAUAAGCUAAUAUGGAACUUAGGUCAUUGAGUCUGACUAUCAGAUUCAAGCUACUUAAAUACUACAAUACUUUUAAUGCGUGAAUCAGUAGAUUGCAUGAACAUAUAAGACUACACUACUCAUUACAAUACCAAAUGACUAAACAGGGGUUCCAAAACAGUAUAAUCAAACUCAGAUCAGCUUUUCAUUCAAAUGCAACUUCAAUUACAAGGUUCCUUAUGCUUUGGCCAUUGAAGGUUAGGCAAAUACCUGAAAAUUGAAACAAAGUGUGAGGAAAUAGAAGUCGCUCAAGCAGCAGUACAGAAGAGACAACAGUUGUAGCAGAAGUCAGUACUAUAAAUAAAAAAAACCAGGCAAAGAUAGGAUAAGAGGCAGUAGAAUCCACAACUACUUCAAUCAACAAAUAAAAUCAAGGUGAGCUUGGAAAUUAAGCUUGAUGAACUAAUGCAAUUGAAUAAGAAUAGAUUUGGAACCUUUUUUAGACUUAUUUUUAGUAAUUCUUCAGUAAUUUGAAUUUGAAUUUUCUUAUUUAUCUCAGCUCUAGAAUUUGAAUGUUUUUGAAUUUAACAUUUUUCAGAGUUUGGAUCUCUCUAGACUGCUGGAGCUGGGAUUUUUUUAAUUUCAAAUUUCAGAAUUUUCUAGCUUCUCCCCAAACUUCUAUUUUAAGGCAAGGUAUUGCCCUUUUAUAGACAAAGUCUAGGGCAACCUUCAGAUUUCAUUUUACACCAUAAGUCCCUCUUUUAUUUUCAGAUUUUAGCUAUUUAGUCCCUUAGUUAUUGGCCAAGUAGCAUUACCAAAUUCAUGAACUUCAAAUUAGGGCCCCAUCUAGAAGGGUCUAAUAAUUUUCAAUUUCAAUUACUGCAUUAUUCUCUAUUUUGAAGUACCUAAACUAUCCUUGAAUUGAUCCUAAAUUACUAACCUAGUCAAACUAACCCCAAGCCCCUUAGAUUUGGUCAAGACUUGACCAUGGUUAACUAACACAGGCCUGGACAUGUUCAGCAAAAAUCAUACAUUACUUUGAUUAACAAAAAUUUCCAAAAAUUGAACGAAACCUAAUUUAAACUUGAAUUAAUCCCUAAUAGUUAAACUAACCUCUUUAAGCUUUGAAUUAAUUAACAAAAGACUUAGAAUUAACUAAGAAAUCAAACAGAAAUAACUCAUUACCAAUUGACACUUAGCAGAGAAUCAAUAUGAAAAGAAAAAUCUAAAACAUUGGCAAACAAAAAUCAAGGAACAUGCAGAUAUACUAGUCGAAUUACCUAACUAAACUAAUCGAUAAGAAAUAAAAAUAAAAGACUUAAAGCCUAUGUUAAUAAAACUAAAUACUGCAUGAUAAAAAGAAAACCAAGUUUAAACUAAUUUUAACAAACAACGAAUAAAGGAAAAAUAGGAAGACUCACCUAUGCAUGGCUGAACAAGGCCGGACCCCGAUUCGAGUCUCAGAAUGAUAUUAAACAUUUGUUAUUCACCAAGGACAAACGAAAAUAUUAUUCUGUGACUCGAAUCAAACUUUGGACUCAAGAAAUUAGGAAGAAUUUUAACCACUUUGACAUUCUAGGGUUCUGCCGCUCUUUGAUUUAAAUUCGAGAAAAUUUGGUGAGAUUCGGAGAAAACUAGUUAGAGGUUUGGGAAGAGGGAAGUGAUGAGAGUCUGGGGUAUAAUUUUGGUGAGGUUUGGGGCGGCGGCGCCGUGAACGGCAGAGUAGUCACUGUUUCAAAUGGGUAUUCGACGAGAUCAGGAAAGGUUUGAAAAGAAUGAUGGUCAUAUUCGUGAUGAGGAAGAUGAGAAUGUGCUACAGUGUAUUUUUGGGAGUCACCGGAGAAUCACCGCCGGUGGAGGCGAUUUCUGGCUGGCUAUGGACGGUGGGAGACGACGGAGGAGCGGUGGCGUUAGGUUUAAGUCUCUAAGACAAGGUACAAGGUUAUUUUGGGGGAGGAGGGUGUUUGUAAGCAUUUAUAUAUGAAGCAACACAUAUUUUC